CUUGACGACCAUAGAGCAUUGGAACCACCUGAUCCCAUCCCGAACUCAGCAGUGAAACGAUGCAUCGC
rnacentral:rRNA from 9 species